UAGAAUAUGGUGUAUAGUUGGUAGCACGAAGAAAUUUGAAUUCUUAGGAUUAGGUUCGAUUCCUUUAAUUCUAG
rnacentral:tRNA from 1 species